UACGUAGGUGGCAAGCGUUAUCCGGAAUUAUUGGGCGUAAAGGGUGCGUAGGCGGUCUGUAAAGUUCAUGGUGAAAGCGUGGGGCUCAACCCCAUAAAGCCAUGGAUACUGGCAGACUAGAGUACUGGAGAGGGUAGUGGAAUUCCAUGUGUAGCGGUAAAAUGCGUAGAUAUAUGGAGGAACACCAGUGGCGAAGGCGGCUACCUAGACAGAGACUGACGCUGAGGCACGAAAGCGUGGGGAGCAAAUAGG
rnacentral:rRNA from 1 species